rnacentral:sRNA from 1 species
AGAGUGGGCUUCCUACUCCUGCCCCGAGGAAGUGCUGUCUGUACUGAAACAGGACAGAAGUGACUCUACUGUUAACCCCUCAAGUAUCCAGAAGCCGACGUACAGUUUGUAUUUCCUGGACCACCUGGUCAAGGCCCUGCAGAAGAUGUGCCUGCACGAACUCACGGUUCCCGUCCUGCAGUUGGGGGUGCUGAUUUCAGACUCCGUGGUGGGAAGCAAGGGCCUAGCGGAUCUCUACCACCUUCGGUGGGUACAGCUCCUUUUUCGGAGUGUGAUUUCCCCAAAGCAAUACAAAAAUGAACAACAUGUUAAGGCAUUAAUUCUGUAGUUGACUGUGUAAAUAAUAAAGUACCUGGGACUUGAACACCAAGUAAAUAAAAAUAUUUGAAUAUAA